AUUGAACGCUGGCGGAAUGCUUUACACAUGCAAGUCGAACGGCAGCACGGACUUCGGUCUGGUGGCGAGUGGCGAACGGGUGAGUAAUGUAUCGGAACGUGCCCAGUCGUGGGGGAUAACGUAGUGAAAAUUACGCUAAUACCGCAUACGAUCUAUGGAUGAAAGCGGGGGAUCGCAAGAUCUCGCGCGAUUGGAGCGGCCGAUAUCAGAUUAGGUAGUUGGUGGGGUAAAGGCCCACCAAGCUAACGAUCUGUAGCUGGCCUGGGAGGACGACCAGCCACACUGGAACUGAGACACGGUCAAGACUCCUACGGGAGGCAGCAGUGGGGAAUUUUGGACAAUGGGCGAAAGCCUGAUCCAGCCAUUCCGCGUGCAGGAUGAAGGCCCUCGGGUUGUAAACUGCUUUUGUACAGAACGAAAAGGUUUCUACUAAUACUAGGAGCUCAUGACGGUACCGUAAGAAUAAGCACCGGCUAACUACGUGCCAGCCGCCGCAGUAA
rnacentral:rRNA from 1 species